AACAAAUUAAAAAUAACAUUUAAGAAAAAGAGAUAUUGUGCAUUUUUGAAGAAAGAUCAAUCCAUCAAAUUUACAAAAUGCAUUGACGCGGGAUCCAGUUUACCCAUGAUGGGAAGAAAGUGGACAAUAGUCAUUGCGCGCGCGAUCAUUAAUGAUCCAAUGCAAACUGGGGAGAAAAUUUUAUGAUUCCGUGGAAUGACGGAGAACCGGACAUCAGUUCUAAAGGGAACGCUAAUGGUUCUAUAUCAAACACCGGCCGACCAUUUAACCGCGCGGGAACUUUCAUGGCGUUUCAUCAUUAAUCUCCCGUGAAGUCUUCUCGUGUGUAAACAGCUUUAUUGGCAGCUCCAGAGAGAGAUUUUGUGGCGAGUGCAAAAUUUCACGGAAAAUCUUACGCUGGCGCGAGUCCGCCGACUGCAGAUGCCAGAUGCAGACUCACAGUGACUUGCAAUCUGAGGCCAUUCUCGCGAGAAACGAAAGCAAGAAAACGUGUACAUGAAGAACGAAAGACAAAUAGGCAGACAAAUAGCACAAGGAACAUCUCCUCGGUCAAUAGUCCAAGCUACGUGCGAGGGAAGAAACGCCUAUCUCAAGUUCUGCAGCCACGCUGUCUGGAUGGUGAGAGAGAAAAAGAAAGAGAGAGAGAAGAGAGGCGUGAGGAGACAAAACGGGGAUCCUCUCCGUAGCGCGGACGCCACGCGCGACUAUAACAGACUAUAAGGAAGAACCUCUUAAUCGGGGACCCGGACCUCUGCAGGGCACCGAGGUCUUACCCUCGUGGCUCACCCAACGGCGCGGUGUAUCUCGACGGGGCUGACCCCCAACCCCACCACACGCCGUCACCCACGGGCCAUCAUCGUCGAUCACCAGCGGAAGAAGAACGCGCCUCCAGGCGCUUCUCGGUUCACUUCCCAUCGGCUUUGCCCCGCAUUCGUGUAAUCAGCCGACGAUGACCCUUUAGUGCCCAGAGCGUGUAUACCCAAGGCAACUGGACGAUCGCUCGUGCGUCGCACGAGCGAACUCGUGCCGUCUCUUCUCUCACGAUUAAGCACCAGAUGCGACUCACGCGAGUCUCUCAGAUGUAACAUAUACAUCGUAUAUUUUUGAAAAGUCCGUCGAGUGGUUGCAGCAAUUAAUCGUCUGUUAUUUAUGAAUUACAUUUUUUAAUUCGAUAAAAAAGUAAAAGCAUAUGAAAAUUUUACAUGGAAAAUAAUAAUAGGAAAAAUUAAUUAAAAUCUUUUAUCGUUUUUGUGUUUGUACACAAAAACGAAAUGUUUCUGAC